GGGCCCGCACAAGUAGUGGAGCAUGUGGUUUAAUUCGACGAUACGCGAAGAACCUUACCAGGGCUUGACAUGGAGCUAAAGACUCUAGAAAUAGAGGGAUAGUUAUAGCUCACACAGGUGGUGCAUGGUUGUCGUCAGCUCGUGUCGUGAGAUGUUGGGUUAAGUCCCGCAACGAGCGCAACCCUUGUCCUUAGUUACCAGCAUUCAGUUGGGGACUCUAAGGAGACUGCCGGUGCAAAUCGGAGGAAGGUGGGGAUGACGUCAAAUCAUCAUGCCCCUUAUGUCCUGGGCAACACACGUGCUACAAUGGCCGGUACAAAGAGACGCCAACUAGCGAUAGUGAGCAAAUCUCAAAAAGCCGGUCUCAGUUCGGAUUGGAGUCUGCAACUCGACUCCAUGAAGCUGAAAUUACUAGUAAUCGUAGAUCAGCUAUGCUA
rnacentral:rRNA from 1 species